rnacentral:rRNA from 1 species
ACGGCCCACCAAGCCGACAAUCGGUACGGGCAGUGAGAGCUGGAGCCCGGAGAUGGACACUGAGACACGGGUCCAGGCCCUACGGGGCGCAGCAGGCGCGAAACCUCCGCAAUGCGGGAAACCGCGACGGGGGGACCCCGAGUGCCGUGGCACAGCCACGGCUUUUCCGGAGUGCAAGGAGCUCCGGGAAUAAGGGCUGGGCAAGGCCGGUGGCAGCCGCCGCGGUAAUACCGGCGGCCCAAGUGGUGGCCACUAUUAUUGGGCCUAAAGCGUCCGUAGCCGGGCCUGUAAGUCCCUGGCGAAAUCCCACGGCUCAACCGUGGGGCUUGCUGGGGAUACUGCAGGCCUUGGGACCGGGAGAGGCCGGGGGUACCCCUGGGGUAGGGGUGAAAUCCUAUAAUCCCAGGGGGACCGCCAGUGGCGAAGGCGCCCGGCUGGAACGGGUCCGACGGUGAGGGACGAAGGCCAGGGGAGCAAACCGGAUUAGAUACCCGGGUAGUCCUGGCUGUAAAGGAUGCGGGCUAGGUGUCAGGCGAGCCUCGAGCUCACCCGGUGCCGCAGGGAAGCCGUUAAGCCCGCCGCCUGGGGAGUACGGCCGCAAGGCUGAAACUUAAAGGAAUUGGCGGGGGAGCACUACAAGGGGUGGAGCGUGCGGUUUAAUUGGAUUCAACGCCGGGAACCUCACCGGGGGCGACGGCAGGAUGAAGGCCAGGCUGAAGGUCUUGCCGGACACGCCGAGAGGAGGUGCAUGGCCGCCGUCAGCUCGUACCGUGAGGCGUCCACUUAAGUGUGGUAACGAGCGAGACCCGCGCCCCCAGUUGCCAGCCCCUCCCGUUGGGAGGGAGGCACUCUGGGGGGACUGCCGGCGAUAAGCCGGAGGAAGGAG